UACGUAGGUGGCAAGCGUUGUCCGGAUUACUGGGCGUAAAGCGUGCGCAGGCGGUGAUGUAAGACAGGUGUGAAAUCCCCGGGCUUAACCUGGGAACUGCAUUUGUGACUGCAUCGCUGGAGUGCGGCAGAGGGGGAUGGAAUUCCGCGUGUAGCAGUGAAAUGCGUAGAUAUGCGGAGGAACACCGAUGGCGAAGGCAAUCCCCUGGGCCUGCACUGACGCUCAUGCACGAAAGCGUGGGGAGCAAACAGG
rnacentral:rRNA from 1 species